rnacentral:lncRNA from 1 species
UGCUUCUAAUUAUUUUCCUGGUCAAAUUAAGGUUGACUUCAACUUAUACAGUAAAAGCAAGCAUCACAACACAAAUUGAAACCAAAAAACAGAUCAAUGCUGGAAACUUUUCUAAGGUUUUAGCUAGCCAAUGGAUGAUUAUAUACAUACUCAAUUGCAAGGGCACACGAGUCAAUCUUAUCAGCUUCUUUGUCAGGAAUCUCCAACUUAAACUCCUCUUCAAUGGCCAUUAUUAUCUCCACAUUAUCUAAGCUGUCCAACCCCAAAUCCUUCUGGAAAUGAACAUCAGGAAAUACCUUAGAAGGAUCGACUUUAGGGAAGCUCUUGACGAUAUCGAGGAUUCUAUCAAUGACUUGAGUCUUUUCGAGAUGAUCAUCGUGAGAUGACAUUGAACGAACGGAUGUGGUCCAUAGAGGAGUGAGAAGCUUGGAUCCGUUAGCCACCACGGGGACUCGUAGGUGCCCUAGGAUUGCUGCUCUCAACGCCGACGCCAUUUUUGCACCUUCU